rnacentral:rRNA from 1 species
CGGACGGGUGAGUAAUGUCUGGGAAACUGCCUGAUGGAGGGGGAUAACUACUGGAAACGGUAGCUAAUGCCGCAUAACGUCGCAAGACCAAAGAGGGGGACCUUCGGGCCUCUUGCCAUCGGAUGUGCCCAGAUGGGAUUAGCUAGUAGGUGGGGUAACGGCUCACCUAGGCGACGAUCCCUAGCUGGUCUGAGAGGAUGACCAGCCACACUGGAACUGAGACACGGUCCAGACUCCUACGGGAGGCAGCAUG